rnacentral:lncRNA from 10 species
GGUUACAGGGGAAGGAAGGAGGGAGAACGCCUAUUUGGGAACUGACUGUUAGCAAGACAGGUGACAGUGGGUGAGCUUUUUCACCUCUCUGGCCUCACUUUCCUUAUCUGAGAAAUGACUUCAAUACCCCUUCAAUGGCUUCAACACCCCUUCCAGUUCUGCCCCUGGAUUCACCCACAUGUAAUGAGGCAUUCAUCCAUGCUCUCAACUGGUGGACACAAAAUUUUCAACAUGUGUUUGUUCGCCUUUCCUUCACUUUCUUUCCCCAACCUGCACUCCCCCCAAUAAUAUUGAAGAAUAAUAUAAAAAAAAUACACUGCCAUUGUCUUAUUGACCUAGGAAAAUGUUCUCUUCCUCAAUCACAUUUUCAGGAUCUGUCAUGGAAUUCUGAAUUAUCUGAAGACUAGAUUGCUCUUCAAGCAUUCUGCCUGCCCGCCCUGAGAUUCUGUAAUUUGAUUUAUUAAGAGGAGUGUAAAAGCCUCACACACACCUUCACACUCUCAUCACACACAAUUUGUCUGCUGAAUAUUCUGACCCAAGACCGGCCAAUUUGAUGGAGUCAUUGAGUUCAUUAAAGUUGUUUCUCUGGCUGGGCGGGUAUGAGUGGAAACAGCUUUUCUGUAGGGUAGUUUGGCGAUAGGUGACAAACACCUUUAAAACACAUGUAGCCUUCAACACACGCAUGCCAUUUCUAGAAAUCUA